UACAGAGGGGGCAAGCGUUGUUCGGAAUUACUGGGCGUAAAGCGCGUGUAGGCUGACCGGAAAGUCGGGCGUGAAAUCCCUGGGCUCAACCCAGGAACUGCACUCGAAACUCCCGGUCUUGAGUGGUGGAGAGGGAAGUGGAAUUCCUGGUGUAGAGGUGAAAUUCGUAGAUAUCAGGAGGAACACCAGUGGCGAAGGCGGCUUCCUGGACACCAACUGACGCUGAGACGCGAAAGCGUGGGGAGCAAACAGG
rnacentral:rRNA from 1 species